rnacentral:rRNA from 1 species
UCGUAACAAGGUUUCCGUAGGUGAACCUGCGGAAGGAUCAUUAGUGAAUUAAACAUGCUUGGUGUCUUCGCUUCGGCAAGGCCCUUGCUUAAAUCACAUCCUAACACCUGUGAACUGUAAGACGUAUGAUGAGGUCUUUGGCCAAGUCAUCGUCUGCCCAUUUUUAACAAACAAUUAAUGUAACAAACGUAGUCUUAUUAUAACCUAAUAAAACUUUCAACAACGGAUCUCUUGGCUCUCGCAUCGAUGAAGAACGCAGCGAAAUGCGAUAAGUAAUGUGAAUUGCAGAAUUCAGUGAAUCAUCGAAUCUUUGAACGCACCUUGCGCUCUUUGGUAUUCCGAAGAGCAUGCCUGUUUGAGUGUCAUGAAAAUAUCAACCUUGACUUGGGUUUUGUGCUCUAGUCUUGGCUUGGAAUUGGGUGCUUGCCGCUUUUACGAGCGGCUCACCUUAAAUGUAUUAGCUGGAUCUGUCUUUGAGACUUGGUUUGACUUGGCGUAAUAAGUAUUUCGCUAAGGACAUUCUUCGGAGUGGCCUCGUUUCUAGGACGCUUGUCCGCUUCCCAAUACAAGUUCCACCUCGUGGACAUGACUUUUUUAUUAUCUGGCCUCNAAUCAGGUAGGACUACCCGCUGAANUUA